rnacentral:snRNA from 1 species
UGCUCACUUUGGCAGCAUACUAAAAUUGGAACAAUAUAGAGAAAAUUAGCAUGUCCCUGUAUAAGGAUGACACACAAAUUUGUGAAGCAUUCCAUUUUUUC